UGGCGGACGGGUGAGUAACGCGUGGGCAACCUGCCCCGUGCCGGGGGAUACCGCCUGGAAACAGGCGCUAAUACCGCAUAAGCGCAUACAGCCGCAUGGCAGUAUGCGGAAAGCUCCGGCGGCACGGGAUGGGCCCGCGCCCGAUUAGCCAGUUGGCGGGGUAACGGCCCACCAAAGCGACGAUCGGUAGCCGGCCUGAGAGGGCGGACGGCCACACUGGGACUGAGACACGGCCCAGACUCCUACGGAAGGCAGCAG
rnacentral:rRNA from 1 species